GAUGAACGCUGGCGGCGUGCCUAAUACAUGCAAGUCGAGCGAACAGACGAGUAGCUUGCUCCUCUGACGUUAGCGGCGGACGGGUGAGUAACACGUGGAUAACCUACCUAUAAGACUGGGAUAACUUCGGGAAACCGGAGCUAAUACCGGAUAAUAUAUUGAACCGCAUGGUUCAAUAGUGAAAGACGGUUUUGCUGUCACUUAUAGAUGGAUCCGCGCCGCAUUAGCUAGUUGGUAAGGUAACGGCUUACCAAGGCAACGAUGCGUAGCCGACCUGAGAGGGUGAUCGGCCACACUGGAGCGGAGACACGGUCAAGACUCCUACGGGAGGCAGCAGUAGGGAAUCGUACGCAAUGGGCGAAAGCCUGACGGAGCAACGCCGCGUGAGUGAUGAAGGUCUUCGGAUCGUAAAACUCUGUUAUUAGGGAAGAACAAAUGUGUAAGUAACUAUGCACGUCUUGACGGUACCUAAUCAGAAAGCAACGGCUAACUACGUG
rnacentral:rRNA from 1 species